AAUACUCAGCUAACAUUCUUAUCUCUGCAUCAGCCACAGUACGAUUCGCAGUAAGAAACAACUUCUUAAGAUUAGGGCAACAUCUUGCAAGUGAUGCCGCCAAAAAGCUUAAAGAGCACUGAAUUUAAACCAACCAAUCAGAAGUGAGAAGACCACACUCAACCUACCAUCCAAAGUCAAGUUCUUCCAAGAAUUGACAAUUUUUCGCCAACUCAUUCAAACCGCGACUUGUUAAACUACGAGCUCGCCAUGCAUCGAUUAUUCGCAUCUGUUUACAAUGGGCAGCUAUCUCACAGAACACCCUAGAAUUGUGACCGAAAAGACAAAAUAAAAUUGAUUUAUUUACAUUGUGGUUAACUACUGAUCAAUUUAAAUAUGUAAUACAACAAUUUUAUAUGAAUAUUAAAUAAUAACAUAAUCUCACAGAAGACCUUGUAUAUUAUAGUAAACUAA